CUUGACACCCGCUAUCCCAAGACCAAGAGGCCUGGUUCCUCCCUGGGAAGCCAGCCUGACUGCCUACCUGUCACACCUGUAUGACCUGAGGAGACAGUUUCUUCCAAUGACCUGUCACAGCAGAAGGCGUGACAGACAACAGCAGAGACCAGAGGCCUUAAACCACACCAAACAAUGCUGCCUAAUGCUUACUUUAGAAAAUGUCAUUCAUUUCCACACUCAGUGUCUGGGCGUCCAUAUGAUGAACAGGAUGAGCGGGUGGGGACCAGUGCCUGGGCUCCCUGAAGCAUCAUUGAAAACCCUCAUCUCUGGGGCUCAGGAAAGACCCCUCUUGCCCAGUGAAGACCCAGCAGAGGCCACACACAGCUAGAUCAACAGCCCGGGUGUGUGUUUAACAUUAUCAUUUAUAAAGCCAUACAAUGGAUUGUAAGAGACAGGCAGCUGUACAGAGGGAAACAGCAUAUGUGUACAUACAUUCGUAUCCAGAACACGUAGCAUACAACAGGGUUUAUACAAGGUGGCGGAAGCUAUAGGCACAAUGAUACAAAAUAUAAAGUAUAUUUCCAUCUAUAAAUACACAGCA